ACAGCACACAAUUAAAGCCUUGCACCAAUCUUGUGGGUGUUUAGGUGUCGGAAGUGUGCCAGAGUGACAUGGCCGGGUUUUCGCUAACACCAUGAGGACUGCUGUCCCUUGACUGGCGUUUGAUAGUGACCUGAGCCACAUUC
rnacentral:snoRNA from 1 species